rfam:Felis catus isolate Cinnamon breed Abyssinian chromosome B2, whole genome shotgun sequence.
GCCUGGGUGGCUCAGUCGGUUGAGCAUCAGGCUUCGGCUCAGGUCAUGAUCUCACGGUUCGUGGGUUUGAGCCCCACAUCAGGCU